rnacentral:rRNA from 1 species
GAUGAACGCUGGCGGCGUGCCUAAUACAUGCAAGUCGAGCGAACGGACGAGAAGCUUGCUUUUCUGAUGUUAGCGGCGGACGGGUGAGUAACACGUGGAUAACCUACCUAUAAGACUGGGAUAACUUCGGGAAACCGGAGCUAAUACCGGAUAAUAUUUUGAACCGCAUGGUUCAAAAGUGAAAGACGUUCUUGCUGUCACUUAUAGAUGGAUCCGCGCUGCAUUAGCUAGUUGGUAAGGUAACGGCUUACCAAGGCAACGAUGCAUAGCCGACCUGAGAGGGUGAUCGGCCACACUGGAACUGAGACACGGUCCAGACUCCUACGGGAGGCAGCAGUAGGGAAUCUUCCGCAAUGGGCGAAAGCCUGACGGAGCAACGCCGCGUGAGUGAUGAAGGUCUUCGGAUCGUAAAACUCUGUUAUUAGGGAAGAACAUAUGUGUAAGUAACUGUGCACAUCUUGACGGUACCUACACGGAAAGCCACGGCUAACUACGUG